GGCCUUUUGAUUAUAAUUUAAGGUCUUGCCUGCCCAAUGAUGUAAAAGUUAAAUGGCCGCAGUAUCCUGACUGUGCAAAGGUAGCAUAAUCAUUAGUUUUUUAAUUGAAAGCUUGUAUGAAAGGUUUGAUGAGAAAAGAACUGUCUCUAUUUAAAAUUUUAGAAAUUUAUUUUUAAGUUAAAAAGCUUAAAUUUUUAUUGAAGACGAGAAGACCCUAUAGAGUUUUAUUUAUGUAAUAAUAGAUAGUGUUUAGUAUUUAAAAUUUUAUUUUUAUAUGAAUUUAGUUGGGGUGAUUGAAAAAUUUAUAAAACUUUUUUUUUAUUUUUACAUUUAUUUAUGAGUAUUUGAUCCUUUAUUAGAUUAUAAGAGAAAAUUACCUUAGGGAUAACAGCGUAAUUUUUUUUAGAGUUCUUAUCGAAAAAAAAGAUUGCGACCUCGAUGUUGGAUUAAAAUUUAAUUUUUGGUGUAGAAGCUAAAGAAUUUAGGUCUGUUCGACCUUUAAAUUUUUACAUGAUCUGAGUUUAAACCGGCG
rnacentral:rRNA from 1 species